GGCAAAUAUAUAAAUUCAAGAAUUGAAAAUCCUUGUGUCGGUGGUUCGAUUCCGCCCCAGGCCACCA
rnacentral:tRNA from 1 species